GUGGUAAAAUGAUACAUUUGUUUAGAAGGCUCCAACAACUGGAUAGAAUAGAAAAAAGUUAGUAAAAUACAUUUGUUUUGAAGGCUCAACAUCCUUUGAAGAUAUUGGCAAUGUCAGCAUGUUAUAUUCCCUCCUGGUAUAUGGUUGCUCUGUAAGAAAGAUAGAAUCGAAGUCAAUUGUAUGGAUCCAAGAGAUUAUGAUUAAUCUAUAUGCAUUUAGGAAAAUAGUGCUCAACCGCCCAUCAAUUACCUGUUCUUGACUUCCUGACGCCAAACGACAAACUAUCAGAACAUGAAACACCACCACGAACAAGGGCCAGGUCCUCGUCGUCCCCCUCCCUGUCCAACAAUGAUGCAACUAACUGAGAAUCGUAGAAUGGAAGUAAAGGAAACCGCAGCGGCCAACACCCAGCCUUUUCUUCAAGUCUAUCAUAUUCCUCACCAGAUGAUUCCUCACCAGAAGAUCAACUGAGAUACAGACAAUCAAUUUGAGAGAUUGGAAGGAGCAGAAGGAGAGAUGUCACACCCACGCCAAAAUCACUGCCAAAUCUAUCACAAGCAGCAAAAGAGUCUUGUGACCAAACAAGUAAAAGGAGCAAUUCAACAACAAAGAAAACAAUGAAUUUGGAAAAGGAGGAAUCAAUAUCCCUCACCAUCAUCAUGGAAGAAGGGCAUCACCAACACCUUGACUCGGAAGGCUGUGCAGGCAGUACGGCGGCGCUGUUGAGAGGCGAGGCGAGGCGUUGCAAUGUUCAGUGUAAGCCCGGGAUCUACCAUGGAAUUGCUCAACAAGAAGAACUAA
rnacentral:lncRNA from 1 species